UGCUGGUCUUUACUUUUCAAUUGAAGGUUUUUCUCUCUCUCUCUCUUUCCUCUCUCCCUCUCCUCUCUCUACCCACACACACCACCUCUCUCCCUCUCCUCUCUACCCACACCACCAGCCCACCGCCCCACCAGCCCAGACCCUCAACCCACCGCCUUCCGACCACCGCCAGUCCACCGUAGGCGGCGCAGCCCAUUAUUUUCAGGGCCAGCUUGCGUGCACCUCGACUAAUUUCACGAGAUAUCCGCCACCUCCCACCAACACCAGGUCCCAGGGACUGACCGCCUCCGGAGCUCCGACCACCAACCAACAACAACACACCACCGCGGUGCCGUCUCUCAGAGUUGUAAGCCACCGUCGACUCUGCCAUCGUCUCUCUCUCCUGCUGUCUUUGUUGAUGGCGGCGACGACUUUCUCUUUCCCGUCACCGUCUCUCUCUCUCUCUUUUCCGCCACAAACACGCCGGAAAUAGCCAGAUCUGGCCGGAAAUGCCUCCAUAAGUGCUGCUGUUGUUGUUAUGAAGUUUCCGGCAGAUCUAGCCAGAAACCGUCAGCAGAUUUGGCGGAAACUAGUGGUUGGUGUUGUUGUAUUCACGAUACAGCGAUUGUAUUCACUUUUUUGAGCUUUUUUUUUGUUAAUUAUUUAGAUUGUAUUCAUAUUUUUAGGGUGUAUUUGUUAAUUUCCAGCAGAUCUAACCAGAACUAGUGGUUGGUGUUGUUGUAUUCACGAAUACGACGAUUGUAUUCACUUUUUUUGAGCUUUUUUUGUUAACUUUUUAGAUUGUAUUCAUAUUUUUAGGGUGUAUUUGUUAAUUUUUGGUGUAUCUAUGUUUUUAUGUAUUCA